rnacentral:rRNA from 1 species
AACGAACGCUGGCGGCAUGCCUAACACAUGCAAGUCGAACGAGACCUUCGGGUCUAGUGGCGCACGGGUGCGUAACGCGGGGGAACCGGCCCUUAGGUUCGGAAUAACUCCCCGAAAGGGGUGCUAAUACCGGAUAGUGUCUUCGGACCAAAGAUUUAUCGCCGUUGGAUGGGCCCGCGUUGGAUUAGCUAGUUGGUAGGGUAAAAGCCUACCAAGGCGACGAUACAUAGCUGGUCUGAGAGGAUGAGCAGCCACACUGGGACUGAGACGCGGUCCAGACUAUUACGCGAGGCAGGAGUGGGGAAUAUUGGACAAUGGGCGGUAGGAUGAUGCAGCAAUGCUGCGUGAGUGAUGAAGGCGUUAGGGUUGUAAAGCUCUUUUACCCGGGAUGAUAAUGACAGUACCGGGAGAAUAAGCACCGGCUAACUCCGUG